rnacentral:rRNA from 1 species
UUGGGGGCCGGGGAAGGAAGCCCUUCGGGGUGACCGAACUAAGGUUGCGAGGGGCCUAGAAAAGUCCCGUAGCAUUAAUUAUAUAUCUGACCGUACUGUAAACCGACACAGGUAGAUGAGUCGAGGAGACUCAGGCGUUCGAGAGAACUCUCGUUAAGGAACUAGGCAAAUGAGCCCCGUACGUUAGCAAUAAGGGGCGCCCCGCAAGGGGUCGCAGCGAAGCAUCCAUGGCGACUGUUUACCAAAAACACAGGUCUCUGCUAAGGCGAAAGCCGAAGUAUAGGGGCUGACACCUGCCCAAUGCUCGUAGGUUAACAGGAGAUGUUAGGGAAACCGAAGCAUUGAAUCGAAGCCCGAGUGAAUGGCGGCCGUAACUCUAACGGUCCUAAGGUAGCGAAAUUCCUUGUCGGCUAAAUACCGACCCGCAUGAAAGGUGUAACGACUAUGGAACUGUCUCAACGAGAAGCUCGAUGAAACUGUAGUGCCCGUGAAGAUGCGGGCUAUGCGCAGUAGGACGGAAAGACCCCGUGGAGCUUUACUACACCUUGACAUCGUGAAUUGGGUGUAAAUGCAGAGCGUAGGUGGGAGCUUCGGCACCAAUGGAACACCACCCUUUUGCAUCUGGUUCACUAACCUGACCCGUAAUCCGGGUUGGAGACAUUGUCAGGCGGGUAGUUUGACUGGGGCGGUCGCCUCCGAAAAGGUAACGGAGGCGCCUAAAGAUCCACUCAGGCUGGUUGGAAAUCAGCCGUUGAGCGUAUUGGUAUAUAGUGGGUUUGACUGUGAGACAGACAAGUCGAGCAGGGACGAAAGUCGAGCAAAGUGACCCUCUAAUUGUGCGUGGGCACGUUAGGGUUCAACGGAUAUAAGCUACCCCGGGGAUAACAGGCUGAUCUUGCCCGAGCGCUCACAGCGACGGCAUGGUUUGGCACCUCGAUGUCGGCUCGUCGCAUCCUGGGGCUGUACAAGGUCCCAAGGGUUCCGGAGUUCACGGAUUAAAGCGGCACGCGAGCUGGGUUCAGAACGGCGUGAGCCAGUUCGGUCCCUAUCCACUGCGCACGUAAGAAAUUUGAGAGGAGUCGCCCUUAGUACGAGAGGACCGGGGUGAACAGACCUCUGGUGUACCAGUUGUUCCGCCAGGAGCAUACGCUGGGUAGCCACGUCUGGACGGGAUAAGCGCUGAAAGCAUCUAAGCGCCAAGCCCACCUCAAGAUUAGAUUUCUCAUAUUAGUAAGGACACUUGAAGACUACGAGUUUGAUAGGUCAGAGCUGUGAGUCCAGUAAUGGAUUAAGGUGACUGAUACUAAUUGUCCGAGGGCUUAAUAA